GCUGGGUGUGGUGGUGGGCACCUGUAGUCCCAGCUACUUGGGAGGCUGAGGCAGGAGAAUCGCUUGAACCCAGGAGGCAGAGGUUGCGGUGAGCCGAGAUCGCACCACUGCACUCCAGCCUGGGUGACAGAGCGAGACUCUGUCUCAA
rnacentral:SRP_RNA from 1 species